UGAUUUUAAAAGUAGGUAGUUAUCUCAUAGU
rnacentral:piRNA from 1 species